rnacentral:rRNA from 1 species
UACGGAGGGUGCGAGCGUUGUCCGGAAUCAUUGGGCGUAAAGGGCGCGUAGGUGGCCCGGUCAGUUCGUGGUGAAAGCGCGGGGCUCAACCCUGCGUCGGCCAUGAAUACUGCCGCGGCUGGAGCACUGUAGAGGCAGGUGGAAUUCCGGGUGUAGCGGUGGAAUGCGUAGAUAUCGGGAGGAACACCAGUGGCGAAGGCGGUUGCCUGGAGCUUUGCUGACGCUGAUGCGCGAAAGCGUGGGGAGCGAUCCGG